rnacentral:miRNA from 1 species
CAUUGACCAGAAGGAAAUCCUUCCAAUUGAUGAGGUGUACCAACCUCAUUUACCCAAAGGAAAUCCUUCCGGACAAUGAGGCAUAAUAAGUUCAUUGACCGGAAGAGAUCCCUUCUGGUCAAUGGUGUUGCUGUUUCUUAUCGACUGGAAGGAUUUCCUUCCGUUCAUG